GGCCAUGACCUCUAGUUUCAGGGCACAUGGGGUGAAAUCCUAGCUAUACUGAAGCCAGAGGGGCCCAGACUGGUUUUCUCCUCACAUUCUCGAGUCCUUCGGGCUUUGCAGCUGUGCUGCUAAAGGUGACAUGGCUGCAGAAUCCAAAGGUGCAGAGGCAGCACAAGCUAUCCAAAUUGGCUACUUUCCCAUACUUUGAGAAGGUGAUUUAUUUUAUUUUGUUUGGAUUCUGCAAAACUUCCUGACAUUUCAUUGAAAAUCAAUG
rnacentral:lncRNA from 1 species